AUUGAACGCUGGCGGCAGGCCUAACACAUGCAAGUCGAGCGGAUGACAGGAGCUUGCUCCUUGAUUCAGCGGCGGACGGGUGAGUAAUGCCUAGGAAUCUGCCUGGUAGUGGGGGACAACGUUUCGAAAGGAACGCUAAUACCGCAUACGACCUACGGGAGAAAGCAGGGGACCUUCGGGCCUUGCGCUAUCAGAUGAGCCUAGGUCGGAUUAGCUAGUUGGUGGGGUAAUGGCUCACCAAGGCGACGAUCCGUAACUGGUCUGAGAGGAUGAUCAGUCACACUGGAACUGAGACACGGUCCAGACUCCUACGGGAGGCAGCAGUGGGGAAUAUUGGACAAUGGGCGAAAGCCUGAUCCAGCCAUGCCGCGUGUGUGAAGAAGGUCUUCGGAUUGUAAAGCACUUUAAGUUGGGAGGAAGGGCAGUAAGUUAAUACCUUGCUGUUUUGACGUUACCGACAGAAUAAGCACCGGCUAACUCUGUGCCAGCCGCCGCCGUAACAC
rnacentral:rRNA from 1 species